rnacentral:misc_RNA from 1 species
GCUUUAUAUAGAUACGUUCGUAUAUAUUUACAGAAUUUUAACCUUAUCUUGAUUUGCUUGUUUCAAAUUAAACUUCAACCUCUGAACCUUCAAGUUUGCUAUUUGAGAUAGUAUUUACAUAUAUUACUUAAAUUUAUGUAAAUUCAACUGCCUAUGAUUAUGAACCAAAGCACUGGCACUCAACUUUAUGGAAGUCAAAUCUAACAUCUACAUACUCUUAAUAUAUAUGACACUUUUUUU